rnacentral:rRNA from 1 species
AUGUUGCAGGAGGACCACCAUCGUUUGCAGCACCUCCACCAUUGUGGAAGCACGACCCUUGUUUGUAGCACCUCUAACAUCGUCGCAAAAGCACCACCACCAUUGCAGCAAUGUGUCAUUGUGGAUGCAUCAUCGUCAUUGCAGCAGCGCAGUAGUGGGCAAAACUUGGUCAUAAACAUGUCGCAACAUAUGUUUCAAGAGAAAAGUGGACUCCCCACCAUUAGGGUUUGUAAAGAUCAAGGUAGAUGGGGCGGUCUCAAGAUCGGCCAGCUUAGUGCAGUUUGCAGAGACGAACAUGCGGAUUAUCUUUCCUGCCUUAGUAAUGGCCACAUAGCACCAGCGGCCCACCUCAACUCCUCUCCCUCCUCACGCUACAGGAUACAGGGGGAGGGCAUGGCGGCCAUCCCGCGGCUAUGGUCGCCCCUCCAGCCACACGCCGGCCAUCCGGCGGUGCCUCGCGAAGAUAAGGACCCCAAGCGCCCCCUGGCAAACCCUAACCCACUUGCCCCUCUCCCCCUCGGUUCCUCCACUUCCCCACAGCCCGCAACCGAGCUGCCGUGGCCAUGGUCGUCGUCGUCGUCGCGGCCACCGACUUCCCCGGCGCUUGAAAAGAUGUCCGGAGCUGCGCCAUGGACGUCUCCUUCGACUAGUGUUACCGGUUCGAGCGGGGAAGCACUACAGCGCCGGGAUCGACGUGUCUUCCUCGCCUACGACCGCCACUGCCCCGCGCCCGAUCUACCUCACCGGAGCUCCUCCGCCACGCCGGCCGCGCCCUCCGCUCCCCCCGUGAGCUCCUCUCCCCAUUCCCCCUAUUUGCCCCUCGAUUUGCUCGCCUCCCGCGCGCCCCGCGCCUGCCCUCGUGUGCCCAGCCGCGCCCCCUGGCCGCGCCCGGCGCGCCCCUUCCCAUCCGCCCGUUGCCGCUCACGCGUGCCCGUGUUGACUGCUGCUCGUGCUGCUCUGUUGCUGCUCCUUUUGCUGCUCCCGCUCGCUGCUCUUGAUGCAUUCUGCUGCUGCCGCUACUUGGCCGCAGCUGCCGAGAUUUGGCGCGAGGGAUAUUUCCGCGCGGCCAUUCCCGCCCCCUCCCUCGGCCGCCAUUGCCCCGCCACCGCCCGCGCCGGUCCAUCUUCCCCGGCCGUUCUUCGCCGCCAUCGAGGUCACACACGCGCAAUCCCCUCCGGUGGAUCUCGUUGCAGGCCAUGUCUCCCCACCGUCGCUCAAGACACCACCGCGCCUGCCCGCAAGCGGCAGGGCAACAUGGUCGUGCAGGGCGGGAAUCCGGCUGGCCACGCCGGGAAGGCACGCGCCCCGGGCGCCGCCGCCGCUGCGCGAUCUGCCCGGCCGCCGGCGGAGAAGGUGGGCAACGUUCCGGGCGUGAAGCGGAAGAAGGUUCCUAUAAAGAGGCCGGCGCCUUCAUCCACUCCCUCCGCCCCGGCAAGAGGUUCCCCGGCGAUGCCGUUCAAUGGCGCUGCUUCCACCGCAGGCGAGGUGUUCGACAAAAUGGCCGGAAGCGGUGGUUUGAACAAUGCCACUACCGAGUUCGUGAACUUGUUGGACACCAACACCAUCGACAUCGAUGAAGCCCCGCUCGCUGAUUUCGAUUACAAUGAAAUGGAGAGUGGCUUGGAUGAUCACGGUGGUGAAUAUGAAGUGGAGGGGGUAGAUGAGGGGGGCGCUUGGAGUGCGGUGUCUCUUGAUGCUUGCACGGGUACAUCUCAAACCGCCAAGAGGUAUUGGCAAACAAUCGAUGAUCAAUACUUCCCCAUGAUGGGGAAGCAUCCCAAUAGGACUCCACGGACCUUUCGGUCACUCCAAGGUCGUUGGGACAUGAUCAAGCCUAUUUGUAGCCAUUGGGCUGCUUGCUUGGAAGAAGUUCGCAAUGCACCUCCAAGUGGAACCGUGGAAUCCGACUAUGUGAGUUCAUUUUCACGUCCCAAGUUUUGCACAUCAUUUGUACCAUAUGAAGUGAUUGCAUCAUUUGGCAUUGUUUUAAUUGUGUAG